UUUUAUUUUACAGGCUAAUGUGUUUACUGAUGUACAGUUUCUAAUGUCUUUGUCUCUGUUCUUCUGCUACAGGGGGGAAAAACAGAGAAACCUUAAUAAAGGACUUCAAGGACUUGUGUCAAUUGUGUGGGUGUAAACAGGCAUCAGUGGACUCACCAGCAGAGAAGCAUGAACUAGAGGCUCUACGGUCUACAUAAGCUGCUUCUGCUCCACGGGAAUCAACAUCUUAGGAGGUAUAGAGGAAUUAUUGCUUCUUGCAUGUAGACCACCUGCAUGAGCACAUGUUACAUUUGGAGCCACCGAUCGACACAGAUGGAUUAUUGGUUGUGAUUCAUAUCUGGAACAGUUC